CACGUAGGGUGCGAGCGUUGUCCGGAAUUACUGGGCGUAAAGCGCGCGUAGGCGGCUUUGUAAGUUAGAGGUGAAAGCCCGGAGCUCAACUCCGGAAUUGCCUUUAAGACUGCAUCGCUAGAAUCAUGGAGAGGUGAGUGGAAUUCCGAGUGUAGAGGUGAAAUUCGUAGAUAUUCGGAAGAACACCAGUGGCGAAGGCGGCUCACUGGUCCAUUACUGACGCUGAGGUGCGAAAGCGUGGGGAGCAAACAGG
rnacentral:rRNA from 1 species